UUUUAUGAGAGUUUGAUCCUGGCUCAGGACGAACGCUGGCGGCGUGCCUAAUACAUGCAAGUCGAACGCUUCUUUUUC
rnacentral:rRNA from 1 species